rnacentral:pre_miRNA from 9 species
UCUCGAUAGCGUAAAAGUUAACUCAAAUUUGUAUGGAGUUAGAACGUUUGCCUACGUUUGCCGCUAGGAGCGCUGUCCAACUGCAUAGAAAUCUGAGUUAACUUUUACGCUAUCGA